UCUGUUCCGCCUUGGCGCCCUCGGCCGCGGGGGCAAUGUUUUUGUUUUCGUUCUACGUUCAGGUGUUGGGUGGCGACGUAUUAACCGUCGAUAACCAGCUGAAGCAGCUCAAGUUCUCGAGUGGAACGAGGUUGACCGUGCGCAGUGGCAGCCGUUGACAACAAAAACAAUGUAUGCACUCAGCUUCGCCGGAUGAGUGCCGGCGUCGAUCGCGAACCGCCAGAGCCGCCAAAUACCUCUCGUACAUCUCCAAGAACACCAAGAACAGGAGGUAUUCAUAAAGGUCUGAACCACGCGAGGAUCGUCUCGAAGCAUGGUAGCCUCAACAGACGCUUGCCGCCACACGCGAGGAGAAAGCAGGAGGCCCGAAGUUUGAAUGUGAAGAGGAGGUGCGAAGAGCUGGCCCUCACUUUUUCAAGGCAGCCGCAGAACACUACGAGCCCCGAAUCACUGCCGCGGCUGACUCACGCGGAUGCUGUGCUGCACCCUGCACUGCACAUGGUUCGAAGCACACUUCAGGGGACCAGUGCAUGCCCCUGAUGCAUCGUCGCGGUCCCGGGGAUCAUGGCAUCGAUGAGCUCGCUUUCGCCUUGUCCAAGGUAGCAGCGGAACACUACGGGCAGGCCCGGAGUCACCGCACCGGCUGGCUCACGGGCGUCGUCCUGUACUCUGCACGGCACUGCGUGUGGCUUAAUCGGCCAAGCAGAGGGUCACUGCAUGACCUUUAUGAGGCGUCGCUAGCCAUUGUUUCAAAUCGUCCUGAUUCAUGGGCCAAGCCUUUCAAGACUGCACUCUUAGGCCCAGUCCUUUUUGGUGGAUCGGAUCUUGCCAUCUUCCCCUCUCGUGGCUUCCUGUUGUACUUAAAUAAAUUGUCAUAUUUUUUUCUUAUGGUGGUGCAUACGUUUUGCCACACUUCACAAAAACAGUGUGGUGAAUCCAUGCCGCAGAUUACUGUGAAACGUGCAGGAAGGGUAAACUCCGAAAAGGUUUAUGGAAAGAAGAUAGACAUCCCCCAUUAAUUUUUUCUGGACACUCUAAGCGUGC
rnacentral:misc_RNA from 1 species